UGUAUUUCCUUCCUUGGGGCAGACUUCUACUCUUUGGCUCCGCUCUGCUAAGUAGCUCCGCCUUCUGGCGAAUUGUCUCUGGCAUGUGGCUCCACGCUCUGGCUCCAAUAGCUUAGCUCUGACUCUGGAUCUGGCGAUUUGGCUCUGGCUUUGACUCUAACGACUUAGCUCUGACUCUGGAUCUGGCGACUUGGCUCUGGCU
rnacentral:lncRNA from 1 species